ensembl:lncRNA
CUGCCACAUGGUAAAUACUCAAAAAAAAAGGUUAGCUACCAUUCUUCUUCUUCUUUUUUUUUUUUUGAGGAAUAUUGGCCCUGAGCUAACAUCCACUGCCAAUCCUCCUGUUUUUGCUGAGGAAGACUGGCCCUGAGCUAACAUCCAUGCCCAGCUUCCUCUACUUUAUAUGUGGGACACCUACCACAGCAUGGCGUGCCAAGCGGUGCAUAGGUCUGUACCUGGGGUCCGAACUGGCGAACCCUGGGCUGCUGAGAAGUGGAACGUGUGCACUUAACCGCUGUGCCACCAGGCCGGCCCCACCAUUAUUAUUCUUAAUGUCAUUAACAUCAUCUUCAUCAUGAUCUUUAUUAGAAAUUGCUACUACAAAGAGAGUGCUUAGGAAUAUAAUGGGAUUGCCAUCCCGAAUGGGCCCCAUUCUGAGCAUUGGAACAGCACAGCCAUUAAAUGGUCACCAAUGGUUUCCCUAUUGUGCCUCAGCUGUCAGCCCUGCUCGCACAGUGUUCAUGAGAAGCUGGAUAAAAGCACUUCCUGGGACAGGUGACUUUCCUGGUCCCUUGCUACAAAAAGUGUGCUCUGUGGACCAGCUGCAUCAGCGUCUCCUGAAAGCUCAUUAGGAAAUCGGCUUUGGGGCAACAGCCCCACUUUGGACUCAGCACUUAGAGCGUGUGUGUUGGAGGGAAUGUGAAAGGAGUUGUUAUAUUUGCUCCCAGUUUAAUUUUUAAGCAAAUGUUAAAGAUAUUAAGUUCCCCUUAAAAGAUGCCAGCCUCCCUGCCUCAGCCAAACACUCUCAUGAAUUUGACAUAUUUUAGGUGCUUUUGGGAAGUGAAUGUAUAAUCAAGUAUAUUUUUCUAAUGGUACGUGAUGAGCCAAAGUAAAAUGAAUAUCUUAGUAGAGAGGAAGCUCUACUUUAAUUUAGAUGAACCACAAAAGCAUCUCUGUAUUGCAGUCUUCAGAAAAUCAACUUAACAUCUAUUCAGAACUUAGCACAGGGUCUGAUGAAGAGUAGAUGCCCCAAAUAUAACUGAUAGAUUGAUUAAAAAGCUAUAGGGUAUCCUGGCUUCUAAGGGAUUAAAUCUAGACAAUUUGUUCUGGAAUCCUACACCUACCGCAAUCUGGUUCUACUUUAGAUAGGAUGUACAUACAACAGAAAAAUACUAAAGAGCUGUGCCUUAAAAUUCUCUCUCAUGUGAAACAAGUCUAAAGAUAAACAGUCUCAAGCUAGUAUGCAGCUUCCAGCAUUAUUAAUGACCCAAUCUCCUCCUUUUCUUUUCUACAACCUUUAACACAUGAUACCCAUUCUCAAGUCGCUUCCUGGUCUAAGAUGGCUGCUAGAGCUCCAGCCAUCCCAUUUGCAUUCCAAGUAUCUGGAAGAAAGGGGGAAUAUAAACAUGCACCUUCCCAGAGUCCCCCAGAACAUUUCUGCUUAUAUUUCUUUGGCCAGAACUCACCCACAUGUCACACUUAACUGCAAAGUAGGUUGGAAAUUGUAAUCUUAAUUCUGAGCAGCAGGAAGCUCAGCUAAAACUCAGCGUUAGGUUACUAAGGAGGAAGAGACAACAAGAUAUUGGGAUAGGCAAUUAGCAGUGUCUGCCAAAACCUCAAAACCUGCUUCCAGCUGAAUCCACUGUCUACUUGCUUUCAUUGGUCCUGUCUUUCAGAGGCUCAUCUGUUCCUUGUCUCCCAACAUGGCACUCGUGUGCCCUUGCUCAUAUGUCUUCUGGCUUGGGGUACCUCCCAGUUCUUCUUCACAGCGCUGAGGCCUCUUCCUUCAAGACUCCAGUCAGGGAGGGGCCGGCCCGAUGGUGCAGUGGUUAAGUGCAGGCGUUCCACUGCAGCCGCCUGGGGUCUGCCAGUUCAGAUCCCAGGUGCGGACAUGGCACUGCUUGGCAAGCCAUGCUGUGGUACACCCCAGGUCCCUUAGCACUGCACCACACCACCAUGUUGGAGCAUCUUGGUUUCCCACUCUGAAGAAAUCUGAGAUGAUUGAUCAUUCUCUUGGAUCCAUCGCUCUCUUCACUAGCCUUGCCCCCUUGUCAGCAGCCCAGACUCAGACUCCAAUGAACCCAGGACGGAAAGGUCUGAGAAAUUUACAUGCUAAACUAAUCCAAACUUCUGAAGUCCUUAAUUUAGAAACAGUGACCCCAGAUCUUGGCUUAGCCUCCCUUGCCAGCCUGCAGCCUGGCCUCUGCAGAGCAUUCCCAAAGUCUAAGCAAAGAAGCCAUUUCCAUUGCCGCGCCAUGUGUACAGUUCAGCACUUGCUGUUGUUUUGUUUUCUUUGCUCAGGUCCAGUCCAUGGGCUAAAUAGAGAGGUGACAUCAAACAGUUGGGCAGACAGCUGUCGGAAGCCACCUCUGUGCACUCUGGGAAAGCAGUUGGUCCUCCUCCAGUAACACUCAGGAGCGAGCUCGCCCUGAAAGGUCAUUGGCUACAAAAUAGUAAGCUUGCUCUGAGGCGCCUGAGCCGAGACAGUUGCUUGGCGUCCCGCUAAUGCUGGUUUUACUCAAGAGCUGAUUGUUUUUUGAGGUAACCAUGGAUUAUUAUGACGACCAACGUUUGCUAUUUGUUGAGUGUCCAUGGUGUAAACAGAAAGGGGAACGUGUCCGUCUUCAGGAAGAAGCUAGCAAACACACUGCAUGUGGGCUGGGAAGGGGAUACGGAUGGUCCCACAACAGCCCUUGGCGGCCUCGCAUGUCACACAAACCCACUCCUCAUUCCUCACAUGGGUCAGGGAGGCGCUGGGACCUUCAAGGGCAGAGAGCGGGCCACGCGGGCUUAAAUCACUGCCAAGAUGGAAAACUCCCUUACAGUAAACGCAUGUAACUACAGACAAUGAACAUUCCAAAAAACGAUGCUCCUUCCAAAAGACUCCAAAAAAUCACUCCAGCCAGACUCUUCAUAGCACCAUGGAGUUUCCCGAAAAGCAGAAGGAACUCUAAUUAGUCUUCUCAUCCAGUCUCUCUGUCCUCUGCACGACAUUCCUGUCAGACAAAUUUUAGCACCUGCUGGAACCGUCCCAAGGGCUGGGAUCCCUCAAUUCUGAGAGGCAGGUUUAUGAGCAAUGCCCUGCUUUGGUUCUGUCACUGUUCAAUAGGAAAUCUUAGAGCGGUAAGGACACAGACUAGAGCAAGAAAGAGAAGUAAGAAAGAAUCAAAUUCAGCAGGGUCUUGUAACUUAAACAAUACCAUAAACAAAGUAAAAAAUAAUAAUAAACUGGUAAAAAAAAUUUGCAAUACAUAGAAGAAUGAGGAUAAUUUCCCUAAUACACAAAAGCAUAUAUAUACAGCAAUUUGAAAAAAAUCCAAUUAAUAUAAAUAAGAAAAGGCUAUGAAUAGGCAGUUCAAAGGAAAAAAUAAUCAACAGAUAAAUGAAGAGUUUGUAUCUCAUACAUAAAGAAAUGCAAAUUCAAACAAUAAAAUGCUGUUUUUCACC